AAAAAGGCAAACCCUGAGUUUUCGUGUCCAACUUUUUGAUUGUCCGUCUUAUAUGAAAUUUUUUUAUAAUUCGUAUUUUUAUUGUUGUUAGAUGAUAAAACAUGAUUAAUAUUUUAUGCGUGACUUGUCUUUUUAAUUUUUUUCAUAAUUUUUUUAAAUAAGACGGACGGUCAAAUAUUGGACACGAAAACCAGGGUUUGUCUUUUU
rfam:Oryza glumipatula chromosome 1, whole genome shotgun sequence.